rnacentral:rRNA from 1 species
AAAGGUGAAAGAUUUAUUGCCNGAAGAGGAGCUCGCGUCUGAUUAGCUAGUUGGUGGGGUAAAAGCCUACCAAGGCGGCGAUCAGUAGCUGGUCUGAGAGGAUGAGCAGCCACACUGGGACUGAGACACGGCCCAGACUCCUACGGGAGGCAGCAGUGGGGAAUUUUCCGCAAUGGGCGAAAGCCUGACGGAGCAAUACCGCGUGAGGGAGGAAGGCUCUUGGGUCGUAAACCUCUUUUGUCAGGGAAGAAGAUCUGACGGUACCUGACGAAUCAGCAUCGGCUAACUCCGUGCCAGCAGCCGCGGUAAUACGGAGGAUGCAAGCGUUAUCCGGAAUUAUUGGGCGUAAAGCGUCC